rnacentral:rRNA from 1 species
CCUACGGGUGGCAGCAGUGGGGAAUAUUGCACAAUGGGGGAAACCCUGAUGCAGCGACGCCGCGUGAGUGAAGAAGUAUUUCGGUAUGUAAAGCUCUAUCAGCAGGGAAGAAAAAAGACGGUACCUGACUAAGAAGCCCCGGCUAACUACGUGCCAGCAGCCGCGGUAAUACGUAGGGGGCAAGCGUUAUCCGGAAUUACUGGGUGUAAAGGGUGCGUAGGUGGCAUGGUAAGUCAGAAGUGAAAGCCCGGGGCUUAACCCCGGGACUGCUUUUGAAACUGUCAUGCUGGAGUGGAGAGGUAAGCGGAAUUCCUAGUGUAGCGGUGAAAUGCGUAGAUAUUAGGAGGAACACCAGUGGCGAAGGCGGCUUACUGGACUGUCACUGACACUGAUGCACGAAAGCGUGGGGAGCAAACAGGAUUAGAUACCCUAGUAGUC